rnacentral:rRNA from 1 species
UGGGCGCAGGAGAUUUGAGGAGAGCUUUCCCUAGUACGAGAGGACCGGGAAGGACGGACCUCUAGUGUACCGGUUGUUUCGCCAGAAGCACCGCCGGGUAGCUAUGUCCGGAUGUGAUAAGCGCUGAAAGCAUCUAAGCACGAAGCCAACUCCAAGAUUAGAUCUCCCAAAAUGACUUCGGUCAGGAGUAAGGGCCCAGGUAGACUACCUGGUGGAUAGGCCGCAAGUGGAAGUCCGGUAACGGAUGUAGCUGAGCGGUACUAAUAGCCCGAGGACUUGACCCACA